CUUAAUACAACUUUCAACAACGGAUCUCUUGGCUCUCGCAUCGAUGAAGAACGCAGCGAAAUGCGAUAAGUAAUGUGAAUUGCAGAAUUCAGUGAAUCAUCGAAUCUUUGAACGCACCUUGCGCUCCUUGGUAUUCCGAGGAGCAUGCCUGUUUGAG
rnacentral:rRNA from 1 species